UCCAUUUUGCAAUUCAAUUUAUUUUAUGGCUGAGUUGAAAGAGUUCUUUACAUAGUCUGCAUAUUGGAUCCUUGCCAGAUACUCGGUUCACAAUAUUUUCUCCUUUCCAGGGAGUGGUUAUUGCACUUUCUUGAUUACGGUCCCUUGAAGCCUGAACAUUUGGAUGCGGUCCAGUUUAAAUAUUUUACUUCGAUUGCUAAAAUCAAAUUAAGAGAAAAGAUGAGCCAGCAACUGUGAAACGCUCCGCUGACCCCUCUACACUGGGAGAGCAACAGAGGCUCAGAGAGGGCCAGAAACACACCAAGAACUCACAGCAGAGCCUGGCAGAACUGCACGGGGCCCAAGCUGUGCACUUCCAUCCCAGCCCUGGUGUGUGCCAACCUCACGCCGGCCUGUGAGUACUCUUCAGCUCAGCCUGACCCUCCUGUGGGCUCCAGCAAGCCCCAAGGCCUUGAGUGCCUGUGCUUGCUCCACUCUCCCCAGGGCACUUGGGGCCCAUGGCUGGGGCUGCUGGGGCUGGGCCAUGGCGCCAGACCAGUGGGCAGAGAGGCCAGAGGCUCUGUCGCUCCCCGGAGGAGGCAGGCGGCCCCAGGCCCUUCCAGAGGGAAGCUGCAGGUGCAGGCGGGGAGUCUAAUCUGAGCUGCUGUUCCGGUUAAGCGUCUCCAUGUCUUCCAACCGCCCUCUCCUCUCACCUAGGCGUCUGGCCUCCCAGUGCCCGGGAGCCUCCCUGGAGAUAAUGAAUGGUGGUUCCUAUGCUCAGCCUGCAGGCAAGCAAUGCUCAGUAAAUACUACGUCCUCCUCCUUCCCCGGCCUGCAGCGUGGUUAACUUAGGGCCACUGGUGCAGGUGGAGGUGGGGAUGGGGUGGCAGCUGUGUGACCUUUUGUGCUCCCUGAGUCCCACCCUGGCCAGGGAUAUUGGGCUGGGACUUGGGUUGCCAGAUUGGAGCCAGGUGCACAGCCCCCACAAAAGGCAGACCCCAAGUACUGUAGCUGCUAAUGCAGACGGUUCUGAUACCCUGAGCUGUCCCUAAGAAGGCUGCUCGAGGUGGGGAGUGACAGCCCUGGCCAGGACCCGGGACAUCAGGGUCAGCUCUGAUCUGAGCUGCUGCGCUCUGUGACAUUGGGCAGGUCACUUCCGGUCCCUGGUCCUCACCAUAUUCCUACCCUACCGAAGGGGAGAGUUACGCCGACUCCUCCCGAUGGUCCCGUCGAGGCUGCGGCCUCCAGCCUUACACAGGAGCUAUGGCCCAAGCCAAAGCUGAACCUCUGCGGGUACUUUUGUUGGUGCACACAGAAACUGUGCCCCAGGCUCCCUGGGCCAGACCCAUAAACCAGGCCCAUAAAGGCCAGCGGUGAGGCAGCUGGACUCCCUCAAAUAAAAAGCAGGUUCCCAGUGGGAUUGAGAAAGGCCAGUUCCAGCAGCUCUGAGACAAA
rnacentral:lncRNA from 1 species